AUCAUUUCUUGACCUUUUGGCUAAGAUCAAGUGUCACAUCUGUUGUUAUUAGUUAAAUCUUGGAUGCAUUCUCUAUCUGAAGUAAUAUGUUCCAUGUAUUUUUAGAGCAAGUCGAUGGAAUAGGGACUUUGUCCUUCUUGUAAGGAUCUCAUACAGAGCCAUAUCCUCAGAGAAGGGUGGUUUAC